AUAAUACAUAAAUAAAAACGCCUAAAGUGCUCGAAUCUUAAAUCGCAAAUACAUCAAUUUUUCUGGAUGAAAUUGAACUGAUUUUUGAGAGCAGCUAAAAUGGUUAACGAAUUAAGUUUAAAUCAGCAGCUGGCCCAGGCUGUUAGCUCAUUUGCUACUUUAAGCACAUAUGCCUUAUGGCCAAGGGCGAAUUGGUUAUAUGCUUGGCAGCAUAUGGCCUUUGGGCCUACAACCAAGCCUUUGUAUAGUGUCAAAACUGAUAUUUCAGUUUGCAAUCGAAUUGUUGAGCCCAAACAUUUGAAAUACAGUGAAAUGGUGUCCUUGUCUAUGUGGGAUUUUAAUAUGACCGAUGCGGAUUCAUUGGCUCUGGAAUUGGAAAAGAUUGGCUUAACAAGCUGCGAAUUAUAAGAAGCGUCAUGCACGCAAUGUAAGGGAAUGUAUUUAAAUAUAAAACAACUAAAGCUUAUUGUUUAUUUCUGUACAUUUUAAACAUAACAAGAAAGCAAACAUAUACAUCUUGGAAUUCC